rnacentral:rRNA from 1 species
UACGAAGGGGGCUAGCGUUGUUCGGAAUCACUGGGCGUAAAGGGUGCGUAGGCGGGUUUUUAAGUCAGGGGUGAAAUCCUGGAGCUCAACUCCAGAACUGCCUUUGAUACUGAAGAUCUUGAGUCCGGGAGAGGUGAGUGGAACUGCGAGUGUAGAGGUGAAAUUCGUAGAUAUUCGCAAGAACACCAGUGGCGAAGGCGGCUCACUGGCCCGGAACUGACGCUGAGACGCGAAAGCGUGGGGAGCAAACAGG